UAAAUGCAAUAAAAAUCAUGCCACAGUUCAUUUUACACAGUGGAUUUGAUUCAGAGAAGAGAAAGAGGAAAAGAGGAAUUUAACAUAGGUAGACAUGGAACUGUUUUAUUGUCAUAUUAUUGCAGUUUGUACAAUGUGUUUGGUCUUGGUCAUGGAAGUGUCAAUAGUCCACAGUUCAGAGUCUAUGGUGCAAUUGGCAACUGUGGGGAAGUAUAGCUUUCAAUAUUGCCAGAGAGCGAACUUUACAGCGGACACUGCGGAUUGUGGCGGCUUAUUUGCUAAUGAAUCACGAAUCAUGGAGACCUGCCGAAAGGAAAAUUACAGUAACAGUUGUAAUGUUUAUACCAGCCCAGAAGAUGACAGCAUAUUCUUUUGUAUGACAAGUGGAAGAAGUUCACAAUGUAUUAACAUUCGUUGUAAUUCAACAUUUAAACGGGAGACGGAUUUCAAUCCAAUUGAAAUAAUUCACACCGACACAUUAAGUACAUCCUGUGUGUAUAAAUAUUCUACGACGGAACCCAAGGAAUGCGUCACCAACUCCAGUGAUGAGGGUAAUAGUCUCUCUGUCAUCCUGAGCGUGCAAGUUUAUCAUAGCUGUAUAGUAACUCAAAAAUGCCAUGUUAAGUAGAUAUUAACGAAAACAAUAUUUUUUUCCCAGAAAUUAAAUCAUUUAAAUUAUUUAACAAGAUCACGAUUCAAACUAAUAAUAAAAAUGACUUCCGUUGGAAAUCAUAUAUAUUCGAUAUUUUAUAUACUAAACUGCUGUUCGUGUCAAUAUUAUGCUUCAAUAUAUAGAAACGCGUGUAAAUACUGAAAGAAGUCAUAUAAAUUUAAGCGGAAGUGAAUGGCCUAUGUUAUUAGCAGCUUCCCUGACCGGAGUAAUGUUUCCAGCAUUAUUUUCUUUUUGAGAGAUUGGAUUCGCAAACGCUGGUAAUUUUUUUUAAAUGAAUAUUGUAAAAGGUGUGCUCUGCUUUUAGAAAUUAGAAAUAUUCUUUCAGAUAAGGUUCACGAAAACAGAAAACUAAUGUGAUUAUACUCCACAUAAGCAAACUAGAAAGAUCAAAUUGACUGCAAUUUUACAAAACCGAAUGGGAUUCAAGAUACCUGCAACGAACAGAGUGGUUAUUUCAAUUGUUAAAUAAGACGAAGAUUAUUCUGUUCAAGAGGGCAACCUCCUGAUGACGUUGCUGUCGAAUAAAAUUUACGAUAUUUAUUCGUAAUGACGUCCAUUGAGUUGCAUUUCGUUGGCUAGGAACACUGCCUCUUAUUAAUCAAGAUUAUUUGAAUUUAUAUCAAAUAGUCAACUAUUAAUUUAGUACAAGUUUCUACCCGGGCUGCCGCCCUGGGCGCUCUUAACAAUUAUACAAUUAUAAAAUUUAGAAAUUAAUUUCAAAAUUAAGGAGGAUAUCUCCCUCAUGCAUAGCUCUGAUCCUUGGACGAAUUUGGCUCCAGUUUUUUUUGGCACUCUAGUUUUCCUGUUAGCUUUUACAAGUUGUUUGUCAUUUCGAAUUUCCAAAAUUCCGGCUUCAGCACCACUGAAGAGACAUUAUUUGUCGAAAUGUACAUCUGGUGGAUCAAAAUUGGUACCGUAUAACUUUAACACUACAAUGGUUACCUUACGACUACGUUAGGGUACGACUAUGCUACGGCACGAGCUAAUUAACAACAAACAGUCCCCGGAUGUCGCUCUCUUUUUCAAAAUCCACCGAACAAGAAAGAUAUUUUUUCCCCAACCCACCACCCAUUAUAUUAUUAGGGCGUAAUUCUACCAUUUGCUUUGCUGCUUUCUUUUUUUUUUUUACAUUGCAGAAUACCACGUGACAUGUCCAUCCUAGCCGAGAAGAAUGGAACGCAAGCCAUAUCAUGCAAACACGAUCGCCAGCCACUCUAUAACUUUUAUACCUGUGCUGACUGAUGACUCCCACGUUACCGAUAAGGGAUAUAUAAAUGCGGUUUGUACGGACAUUUCGAAUUUACAAGAGGAAGAGGGUGAAAGGUGAAGAUAACGAACAGUGAUCAAUCUCAUAACUCCUACAAUACAAAAUAGAUAGUUGGGCAAACACGAACCCCUGGACACACCAGAGAUGGGAUCAGGUGCCUUGGAGGAGUAAGCAUCCCCUGUUGACCGGUCACACCCGCCGUGAGCCCUAUAUCCUGAUCAGCCCAGCAAUCUUGAUACCUCAACCAAUUCAAACACUCCCGACCCAGGGGUGUAUUCUGGUAUCGAUACGAUUAUACCCGAUGUAUACAAUUAUUCAAAGCCCGAAGAGGAACAGCAAAGUGAUACUUAUAGCUUUUUGAAAGGAUCGGAAGGGAGGAUGCUGAGGAUGGGGAGAGCAGAAAAUCUACAAAAUGAAAAGACCUUAAACGAUACGUUAUUGACAUCGGGUGAACAGUCACCCCUUACAGAACACCAAAGAGAAGACAUGUAACAAUUAUACUUUUGUUUGGAGACUAGAAUUGCCUUAAAAGGAAUUUGAAUGCUUGAAACAAUGUUUACCUUAUUCUGAUGACAUGUAGAUAUUUCUGUUUCUUUAUUUAUUUGCUAACGUCUAUUGAAUAUUUUAUUUACUCAUAAGACAUCAACAGCUACAGGUGUAGUACCACAGAUUUAGACUUGCGCAGAAUUACUAGGAUGGUAACAAUGGGGAUUUGGUAUAUUAUCAAUGCUACAUAGAACCUUACUUUUGAUGUAUGGUCCGAAAGACCCGCUACUGGAGCUCUUUCUUCUAAAUGCCGAGUGUUUGGCAUAGAGGCAGUUACUGCCAAAAACUUCCUGGUCACAAAGCAAACUCAUUAACCAUUUACUCAUCUUUUAAACAUGCAAUGAAAUACCUUGACAAUCCUGAUUUAUAAAACAUGUGAAUUCUGAUUAAAAAAUGCAGCGACAUCAGUAUUUUAAUUUAUUUAACCCCUUCUCUACCGUACCGUGAAGAAUUGGUAUGAAACAUGUCAGAAAGCUUUUGACCAAAUCAAAGUGUUUGCAAAUUAUAUCGUUCUAACAAACACAAUAAUGUCUAAAUUUGCACCUGAUCCCACAACUGGUAUGUCCAGGGGUCCGUUUUUAGGAUUACGUGCAUUUAUGAUAUUGAAGAUGUGUCAAUGCUGCAUUGAGAUUAUUACUGAGAAUCUAAGAAAAUCACCACCUUGCUAUUUAGGAUAUAUUUUACGGAUCUCAUUAUACUAAAAGAUGUUUUCUCGAUAAACAUGAAAUAAGACAUGCGUAUCAAGCGGUAUCCAAUCCCAUUGCCCUUCAAGCUUGAUAGAGAUGAAUUUGUCAUUUUUUAUGCAUUUCCAGUUUUGAAAAAACGAGGCGUUAGUCCUUGAUAUAGUUUGGACCCUUAUAAAAUAAUGCAUAUGGUGAACCCAUUUCCCUUGGAUUUUGUUAAACCUGUGCAUUUAUCUGAUGCUAGGCUUUCCCUAUCGAUAUAAUUCAUACCCGUUUAAAAUAAUGUAUACAUGGUUAUACGAAAAUGUCUUUCAAACUUGUGAGACUCUCUAUUGGUUCAGACUUUAAGAAGGGGCUGUGAUAGGUAUACAGAAAAAUGCAUUAAAUCACACUCGACUUUUUAGUCUGUAUAUUGCAUGCACCCUUUUAGGGGGUCAUAGUCAAACUAGGCUUGAUAUAAAUGUUUGUUCUUUUGUAUCUGUUAGUUGGUGUUUAUAUAGCUAAAGCGAUGUUCGCUUUGUCUCAUUUUUUAAAAGAGAGCUACAAAGGACUCUGUAAACAUUGGAUGAUAUUAGCUUACUCAACAUGUCUAAAAACAUCAAUGAAAAUAUUAAUUCCUGUUUGCCUUUUACCAGAAUGCUAUGAAAAUUAAAUUAUUAUGUAUUUGA